AUUGAACGCUGGCGGCAGGCCUAACACAUGCAAGUCGAACGAGUGGCGGACGGGUGUGUAAUGUCUGGGAAUCUGACUGAUGGAGGGGGAUAGAUACUGGACACGAUAGCUAAUACCGUAUACCAUCAGAUAUGCCCAGAUGGGAUUAGCGUGUUGGUGGGGUAACGGCUAACCAAAGCGACGAUCCCUAGAUGGUCUGAGAGGAUGAACAGCCAAACUGGAACUGAGACACGGUCCAGACCCCUCUGUGAUGCAGCAGAGGGGAAUAUGGCACAAUGUGCGCAAGCCUGAUCCAGCCAUGCCGCGUAGAUGAAGAAGGCCUUCGGGUUGUAAAGCACGUUAAGUUGGGAGGCGUUACCAACAGAAUAAGCACCGGCUAACUUCGUGCCAGCCGCCGCGGUAAUAC
rnacentral:rRNA from 1 species